AGGGAUGCCUCACCUCUGAGAGCUCAGGAGAGAGGGCAGGCCUACCUCAGACUCCAACCACUUCCUCUAAUUUUUAAAUCCCUAUCUGGCCAGUAAUUGACCUGCUGACAGUGGGCGAAUCCAGGCAGAUGGUAGCUGUGGCAGAGAAGAUUCGGACAGCUUUACUCACUGCUGGGGAUAUCUACCUCUUGUCCACUUUCCGCCUCCCUCCAAAGCAAGGUGGUGUCCUCUUUGGCCUCUACUCUCGCCAAGACAACACACGAUGGCUGGAGGCCUCUGUUGUGGGCAAGAUCAACAAAGGUGACUGGUGGGCACCCCUUUCCAGCAUCAAUGACCCCUUGAGCAGUCUCCCUCAUGCCCUCUCCCAGGUGCCUCUUUAUUCUCCAUGACCUCUACUAGGGCUACUGGUAUGGAGGAACUCAAACAGUUGGGUCAGGCUGGUAUUUAUAGGGAUGGAUGGCAGGUUGUAGGCUGGGAUGCUCAGGGAGGGUGAGACAGCUCUGUGUCCCAGCAAUGACUGUACCACUCAGAUCUUUGCUAAAGUUCAGUGGGUACAGAUCUAGUUGCCACCUUGGGAAAGGAUAGUCUCCUAGACAUGGAGAAUAAGGUCAUCUAAGGCCAAUUUGAAAAGCAUUCAUUUACUACUUUCAUUGUUUAUACAUUUAUUUACUUUUCAAGAUAGGGUUUCUCCAUGUAGCUCCAGCCUGCAACUCAGAGAUCCACAUGCCUGGUCCUGUGAGUGCUUGUCACAUCAACGCCUGGCUGAAAAGCAUUUAUUGUGCACCUGUUACAUACAAGGUGUUGAGAGUUACACAUUAGGAAUUAACCUAAUUUGUAGUUUCUCUCUGAGCUGUCAUGCCACACGCCUUUAAUUCCAGGCAGAUGGAGGCAGUGGCAGGCAGAUCUCUGAGUCUGAGGCCAGCUUGUUCCUCAGAGUGAGUUCCAGUAUACUCAGAGCUACACAGAUAAACCUGUCUCAAAAAAAACAAAGAGACAGACAGCCAUGGGGUGGCAUAUUGGUAUAUAGAAGAGAUGAUGGAAGUCAGUUGGAACAUGGGGUGGGGCUAGUGCACAUACUGACCUCCAAUCCUGGGCAGUGCUGGUGCGGUACCAGCGGGAAGAUGGCAAAGUCCAUGCAGUGAACCUACAGCAAGCAGGCCUGGCUGAUGGGCGCACACACACGGCUCUCCUGCGACUCCGAGGACCUUCUCGACCCAGCCCUGGCCUGCAGCUGUAUGUGGACUGUAAACUGGGUGACCAACAUGCUGGCCUUCCAGCACUGGCCCCGAUCCCUCCAGCAGAGGUCAGUGGACUGGAGAUUAGAACUGGACAAAAGGCUUAUCUGAGGAUGCAGGGCUUUGUGGAAUCGAUGAAAAUUAUUCUGGGUGGAUCCAUGGCUCGGGUAGGAGCCCUGAGUGAAUGUCCAUUCCAAGGAGACGACUCCAUUCACAAUGCAGUGACCAGCGCACUGCAAUCCAUUCUAGGGGAGCAGACCAAGGCAUUGGUCACCCAGCUCACCCUCUUCAACCAGAUCCUAGUGGAGCUUCGGGACGACAUCCGAGACCAGGUGAAGGAAAUGUCACUCAUCCGGAACACCAUCAUGGAGUGUCAGGUUUCCACGAGCAGCGUUCACACUGCAGCCCCAGCCCCUGCUUCCGAGGCGUGGACUGUAUGGAAGUGUAUGAGUACCCGGGCUAUCGCUGUGGGCCCUGCCCACCUGGCCUGCAGGGCAAUGGCACCCACUGUGAUGACAUCAACGAGUGUGCUCACGCUGACCCCUGUUUCCCGGGGUCCAGCUGCAUCAACACCAUGCCUGGCUUCCACUGCGAGGCCUGUCCUCCAGGGUACAAGGGCACCCGAGUGUCUGGUGUGGGCAUCGACUAUGCUCGAGCCAGCAAACAGGUCUGCAAUGACAUUGAUGAAUGUAAUGAUGGUAACAACGGAGGCUGUGACCCAAAUUCCAUCUGCACCAACACGGUGGGGUCUUUCAAAUGUGGUCCCUGCCGCCUGGGUUUCCUGGGGAACCAGAGCCAGGGCUGCGUUCCAGCAAGGACCUGCCACAGCCCUGCCCACAGCCCCUGCCACAUCCACGCCCACUGUCUCUUUGAACGCAAUGGCGCUGUGUCAUGCCAGUGUAACGUGGGCUGGGCAGGGAAUGGGAACGUGUGUGGGCCUGACACAGAUAUAGACGGCUAUCCGGACCAGGCUCUUCCCUGCAUGGAUAACAACAAGCACUGCAAGCAGGACAAUUGCCUUUUGACACCCAACUCUGGGCAAGAAGAUGCUGAUAACGAUGGUGUCGGGGACCAGUGUGAUGACGAUGCUGACGGGGAUGGUAUCAAGAAUGUGGAGGACAAUUGUCGACUGUUCCCCAACAAGGACCAGCAGAAUUCAGACACAGACUCGUUUGGUGAUGCCUGCGACAACUGUCCCAAUGUUCCCAACAAUGACCAGAAGGACACGGAUGGCAAUGGAGAAGGAGAUGCCUGUGACAACGAUGUGGACGGGGAUGGCAUCCCCAACGGGUUGGACAAUUGCCCUAAAGUACCCAACCCACUGCAGACAGACCGGGAUGAAGACGGAGUGGGAGAUGCUUGCGACAGCUGCCCUGAAAUGAGCAAUCCUACCCAGACAGAUGCAGACAGCGACCUGGUGGGGGAUGUCUGUGACACCAACGAAGACAGCGACGGAGACGGGCACCAGGACACCAAGGACAACUGUCCUCAGCUGCCAAAUAGCUCUCAGCUGGACUCAGACAAUGACGGGCUUGGAGAUGAGUGUGACGGGGACGAUGACAAUGACGGUGUCCCAGAUUACAUUCCUCCCGGGCCUGAUAACUGUCGCCUGGUACCCAAUCCUAAUCAGAAGGACUCAGAUGGCAACGGUGUGGGUGAUGUCUGUGAAGAUGACUUUGACAAUGACGCAGUGGUUGACCCUCUGGAUGUGUGCCCGGAGAGUGCAGAAGUUACCCUCACAGACUUCCGGGCCUAUCAGACUGUGAUCCUGGAUCCCGAGGGUGACGCCCAGAUCGAUCCAAACUGGGUAGUGCUCAACCAGGGCAUGGAAAUUGUUCAGACUAUGAACAGUGACCCGGGUCUUGCAGUUGGGUACACGGCCUUUAAUGGCGUGGACUUUGAAGGCACCUUCCACGUGAACACAGUCACUGAUGAUGACUAUGCGGGCUUCCUCUUCAGUUACCAGGACAGUGGCCGCUUCUAUGUGGUCAUGUGGAAACAGACGGAGCAGACCUACUGGCAGGCCACGCCUUUCCGAGCAGUGGCCCAACCAGGGCUUCAGCUCAAGGCAGUGACAUCCAUAUCUGGCCCAGGGUGAAGCUCUAUGAGGGUCCCCAGCUAGUGGCGGAUUCUGGGGUGAUUAUUGACACGUCCAUGCGAGGGGGGCGUCUCGGCGUAUUCUGCUUCUCCCAAGAAAACAUCAUUUGGUCCAAUCUCCAGUACCGAUGCAAUGACACAGUGCCUGAGGACUUUGAGCCAUUCCGGAGGCAGCUGCUCCAGGGAAGAGUGUGAGGAGGUGGCCACGGGACCCAGAUCCUGAUCGGAGACCUUUGGCCAUUGAACUCUGUUCUGGAGACCCUGGGGUCUAACCUACAGCCCCUCAGCCUAACGGAUGGCUCUCUGGCACCCACCAGGGAGCUCAGCCCCAGAGGGGUGGCGACCCCAUUGUGCAGGGGUUGGGAGACUUUCAAGGGGUAUUAUUACUCAGGUUCUAACCCCAGGAAAGACAACAGCACAUUGCCAUAAAGUUUCAGUUAUUUUCUAAGUCA